UGGGGUGUCGCCAAGCGGUAAGGCAUCGGACUCUGACUCCGACAUCUCGUAGGUUCGAAUCCUACCACCCCAGCCC
rnacentral:tRNA from 1 species